rnacentral:rRNA from 1 species
CUCAAUGAAUUUUAUAUAGCCGCAAUAUUUGUGCUAAGGUAGCAUAAUCAUUUGUUUUUUAAUUAAAAACUAGAACGAAAGAUUUAACAUUUUCAUUUCUUUCUUACAUAUAAAAAUUAAAUUUAUUUUAAAUAUUAAAAAAUAUUUAUAUACUAAAAAGACGAUAAGACCCUAUUGAACUUUACUAAAGUUUAACUGGGGUAGUUAAUUAAAUAUAAUUUUAAUUUAAAUUCUCAAAAUACCUAAUAAAAUUAAAAUAAUCAAGUUACCAUAGGGAUAACAGCGUAAUAAAUUUCACAAGAUCUUAUUUAAAAAUUUGUUUACGACCUCGAUGUUGAAUUAAUAAUCUAUUAAAUGCAAUAAUUUAAUAAAGAAAGUCUGUUCGACUU